rnacentral:rRNA from 1 species
CUUUGAACGCAAAUGGCGCUCUUGGGUUCUCCCAGGAGCAUGUCUGUCUGAGUGUCGGUU